rnacentral:lncRNA from 1 species
UGACCACCAAUUAUCCCACCAACAGUUGCCUUAUGUCGAUCUUUCUCUCUCUAAUGUUAAUCAGAUUUGAGGGUGCACAUAUCAUAUAAAUAUAUGGAGGAAAAAAUUGAUGGUUCUUCGAUAGACAUGGAUAGAUAGAUAUAUCCAGUUUAACUAGGUGGUUUCUUGUUGUUGUUGAUCUGUCAAUAAUCUUGAUUUUGGAACCGAGGGUAUUAA